UUUUUGCAACUUUCUUUGUUAUUCAUGUUAUUCUACCAGGUAUGCGAUUUUUUGUGUGUUAUUUUUUAUAAUUUUUUUUUUAUCUACGUGUAUGUAUAUUCUAUUGUUGCAUAUUUUAUUGUUUUUUUUUUCAUCAUACAUAUAUAUAAAUAUUUAAGCUUUGGUUUUCAUUUUAUCAUUUUCUCACUUUUAUCAAAUGUUUAUUUUAAACGUACUUUUAUUUAAGCACAUCAUAUGGGUGUAAACUUUCAGGCCUAUAUAAAAUAUUACAUUUUUGAAUUUUCUUGUUUAGAAGAUGUGUAAACUAAUAUCAUUUUUCACUGAAGCAAAUUUAAUAAAGCUUCAGUAUCUACUUAUUAGAAGCUUCGUAAACAAAAAACUUGAUAUAAACUUUUUACCCUGCUAUGAUAACAUUUUAAAUGUAAAAUAGUUAUCCUGAGCAAAUAAAGGUCUCAGAAUCUGAUGUUGAAGUUGAGAUUAAAAAAAUUAUUGGACCACAUUGCGUCACAAAUGUAAUUAAUGGAAUGGAGUCCUCGAAUUACCUAUUAUCGAUCGAAUAUCUGGCUUUGAUGGCAAUUCUGAAUUUUCUCGAAUUCGAAUUUUUUGUAUUCGGUAACUCUAUUUUCGGAUUUUUAAUCCGUAUUUCGAAAAGUGAAUCCGAAUUAAGAAAAUGUGCAACUAUGUAAUUCGAAUUUAAUUGUCAUAAAUAUUCGAGUUUCGUAUAAAAUAUUCGUUGGACUCAGUUAGCAAAAGUCAGCACACUAAACAAAGCCAAUUUGAAAUAAUGGUGGAGUUUAUGGAAACACAUCCAAACUUGGGCAAAGGCUACGUAAAAUGUGCCGACGCUAAACAAACAAGUAAACGUUUGUGGGAGCGGUUGAGUGAAAAAUUAAAUGGAGAUGGACCACCCAUACGGGACAUGCUUUCGUGGAAAAAGGUUUGGGCGGAUUAUAAAACCCACAUUAAGGCUAAAGCUCGCAAAAAUAAGUUGCAUAUGUCGGGGACAGGUGGUGGGCCUGCACAUGUUCAUUCCUUCAAUGCAGUUGAAUUACAGUGGUACUCCAAUAUAACGAAUGAUAUAAUGUUGGGACCGUUCGUUAAACUGAAAUAUUCGUUAUAUCGGAAACGAAAACUAAAUUAAUAUUGGUACAUAUAUGUUUAAAAAUAACUAUUUAUUCAUGAAUUCAUAAGCAUUGGUUGAAAUAAAUACAUAUACAAUGGAAAAUGCAUACAAUAAAAUUAAUAAAAGUUGAAUUUUAUAACAAAAAUAUGAGCAUUAUUCAACUGAAAAGAAAUUUGUUAUGCUCAUUUGCUUUUGUGGGCGAGAAAUUUUGAGAUCCUGUACCUUUUGAUGUAGGCUUUUCAAUAAAAAUAUUUUUUCCUGUUCCACGUUGUUUUCUUCAGACCAUUUGAUACACUUCUCAAAACAGUCGGCACAGCUACAACUGCAGCGGUAUCACCUUCCUCCUCUUCCGAAAUUUCUAUAGCUAGUUCAUUUUCAGCACUCGGGUUCUCUUCUACAAGUACAUUGUCUACACUGUUCCAUGCUUCCAAAUCAUCUGUGUUGAAUUUUGAUAUUCGCCUUUCUUUAACGAUUGUCGUCUCAAUGUGCCAGCAUGUGUACCUUUAACACUUCCGGCAAUUUUUUAAAAUUGUGCAAACACUCGAUUUUGGAAUACCAUGUUUCAAAAAGAUUUCUUUCAGGGUUUUCCCCUUUUUAUUUUCCCCUUUUUAUUUUCGUCAAUUAUUUUUAAUUUGUCACCCAAGCAAAGCCGCGUUUCCGAAUUGAAGGCAUUUUUAAAUAAUUUAUGCGAUAUCCUCACUUUACCACUUUGAACUCACAACUGAUAUUUCGCGCAAUGAAGCGUGCAUAA